rnacentral:rRNA from 1 species
UACGGAGGAUCCGAGCGUUAUCCGGAUUUAUUGGGUUUAAAGGGUGCGUAGGCGGCUUAGUGAGUCAGCGGUGAAAUUUUGCAGCUUAACUGUAACAGUGCCGUUGAUACUGCCAGGCUAGGAUUUGGUUGCUGUGGGUGGAAUGUGUGGUGUAGCGGUGAAAUGCUUAGAUAUCACACAGAAUAUCGAUUGCGAAGGCAGCUCACAAAGCCAAGAUUGACGCUGAGGCACGAAAGUGUGGGGAUCAAACA